UACAGAGGUCUCGAGCGUUGUUCGGAUUCAUUGGGCGUAAAGGGUGCGUAGGUGGCGCUGUAAGUCGGGUGUGAAAUCCUGAGGCUUAACCUCGGAACUGCAUUCGAUACUGCGGCGCUUGAGGACUGGAGAGGAGACUGGAAUUCAUGGUGUAGCAGUGAAAUGCGUAGAGAUCAUGAGGAAGACCAGUGGCGAAGGCGGGUCUCUGGGCAGUUCCUGACACUGAGGCACGAAGGCCAGGGGAGCAAACGGG
rnacentral:rRNA from 1 species